GGGAAGGUGGCUCAGUGGUAGAGCGCUUGCCUUGCAUGCAUGAGGCCCUGGGUUCCACUCCUUAGCAUCACA
rfam:Dipodomys ordii contig_49522, whole genome shotgun sequence.